rfam:Triticum aestivum genome assembly, contig: Triticum_aestivum_CS42_TGACv1_scaffold_376223_5AL
CACUUACCCUCUGUCCGGAAUUAUUUGUCGUGGAAAUGGGUGUAUCUAGAUGUUUUUUAGUUCUAGAUACAACCAUUCCUGUCCAUUUCUGCGACAAGUAAUUCGGGAUGGAGGGAGUACAAC